UGGGUGGCGAGUGGCGGACGGGUGAGGAAUACAUCGGAAUCUACCUUUUCGUGGGGGAUAACGUAGGGAAACUUACGCUAAUACCGCAUACGACCUUCGGGUGAAAGCAGGGGACCUUCGGGCCUUGCGCGGAUAGAUGAGCCGAUGUCGGAUUAGCUAGUUGGCGGGGUAAAGGCCCACCAAGGCGACGAUCCGUAGCUGGUCUGAGAGGAUGAUCAGCCACACUGGAACUGAGACACGGUCCAGACUCCUACGGGAGGCAGCAGUGGGGAAUAUUGGACAAUGGGCGCAAGCCUGAUCCAGCCAUACCGCGUGGGUGAAGAAGGCCUUCGGGUUGUAAAGCCCUUUUGUUGGGAAAGAAAAGCAAUCGGUUAAUACCCGGUUGUUCUGACGGUACCCAAAGAAUAAGCACCGGCUAACUUCGUGCCAGCAGCCGCGGUAAUACGAAGGGUGCAAGCGUUACUCGGAAUUACUGGGCGUAAAGCGUGCGUAGGUGGUUGUUUAAGUCUGUUGUGAAAGCCCUGGGCUCAACCUGGGAAUUGCAGUGGAUACUGGGCGACUAGAGUGUGGUAGAGGGUAG
rnacentral:rRNA from 1 species